ensembl:lncRNA
CAAGAGCCUCUUUUCACAGUUUAAGUCAGAGCUCAGAUUGACGACAGCGUGUUUGAGUCUGCAUCAUGACCUCAGACCUGACGGCAGAGCUGGAGCUGGAGCUGGGGGACUUGUUGCAGGAGUUCCAGGAGGUGGUGGAGGUUCUUAAAGCUCCGUCUCAGACCAGAGCUCAGUCCUAUCACCACGUCCUGCAGGAAGCAAAGGGCAGGGCAGGGCAGUGUGAUGACAGUGGAGUGGAAGACUUCGACAGUAGCAGCGAGGCGUCUUUUGGAAACAGUCUGAACAGCAGUGAGGAGGAGCUGAACACAGCAGGUCUAAUGCAGACAGCCAAAGCCAAGAUGGGAGACACGAGGGAGCUGGAGAGUUUUAUCGACAUGUUGGAUCGAGAACUUGCUGAAAUGUAAAAAGGACUAAGACGAGCCGACCGGACCAGGGGAGACGUGAGCUGCAGAGCCGUGCGUCCAACCACAAGAGCAACACUUUUACUCUCUGCAGUGAUGUUGACCUCAUUUACAAAAUAAAAACAGGACAUCAUAUUUUAAAGAAACUGCAGGCGGCGGGUCACUGCCGUCUGGUCUCACAAAAACAGAGGAAAAAUGAGAAAUAUUUCAAUUUUAUUUCAAAAGACUUUUAAUUUUCAUUUGGACAUUUUCUGCCCCGUGGGCUCAGGUUCACUGUAUCAUAUGUUUUUAUUAUAGUUCCUCUAUUUUAUAAAUAUAAAUAUGUGAAUAAAUGUGAAGUUGUACAGUUCUUGUUCUUUUACAAAUAAAAUUAUUUUUGAUGGAAG